AGAGUUUGAUCCUGGCUCAGAACGAACGCUGGCGGCGUGUUUAAGACAUGCAAGUCGCACGGAGUCAUUUGUGUAGCAAUACUUGAAUGGCUUAGUGGCGCACGGGUGAGUAACAUGUGAAUUACAUGCCCUAUAGUGGGGAAUAGCCCAGGGAAACUUGGAUUAAUACCCCAUGGUCUCGCAAGAGUAAAGGUGGCCGCAAGGCUGUCGCUAUAGGAUUGGUUCGCACCCUAUCAGCUUGUUGGUGAGGUAACGGCUCACCAAGGCUACGACGGGUACCUGGUCUGAGAGGACGAUCAGGCACACUGGAACUGAGACACGGUCCAGACACCUACGGGUGGCAGCAGUCGAGAAUAAUUCACAAUGGGGGCAACCCUGAUGGUGCAACGCCGCGUGGAGGAUGACGGUCUUCGGAUUGUAAACUCCUGUCAUCUGGGAGUAAGACCUGGUCGUUAAUAGCGGACAGGGUUGAUAGUACCAGAAGAGGAAGGGACGGCUAACUUCGUGCCAGCAGCCGCGGUAAUACGAAGGUCCCGAGCGUUGUUCGGAAUCACUGGGCGUAAAGGGAGCGUAGGCGGCGUGGUAAGUCAGAUGUGAAAUCCCGGGGCUCAACCCCGGAACUGCAUCCGAUACUGCCGUGCUAGAGGAUUGGAGAGGUAGCUGGAAUUCUUGGUGUAGCAGUGAAAUGCGUGGAUAUCAAGAGGAACACUCGUGGCGAAAGCGAGCUACUGGACAACUCCUGACGCUGAGGCUCGAAAGCCAGGGUAGCGAAAGGGAUUAGAUACCCCUGUAGUCCUGGC
rnacentral:rRNA from 1 species